GAGCUGCACUCAGUUACCUAUAUAAUUAUAUUAAAUGAAUCAAUAUGUUUCCUAUUCUACACACUUGUAAAAAUCACUCCUUUUCAAACAUGUGUUCAGAGUCCUAUAGCAUGAGACACACAAUGUAGAUGUCAGAGUUUCCACAUUUAUUACCACUUUUCAUGAGAUUCCCCCACCCAAGGUUAUUUAAAAAAAAAAUCUAUCAUCAAAAAAAGGAAAGAGUUAUUCCUGUUACUCAACACAGCUGUUUUCACAUAUGCCAGGGGAAGCUGAGGGAGAAGGCAACAAGCUCUAAGGCUAUAAGCAGAGACCUGUUCCCCAAAUCUGUCUCCUGUAUCUUGGGAAGUCCAUGGGAGGAAUGCUCCUCCAGUAAUCCUGCUGAACAGACUGGCAGGCUCCCUUGGCCACUAGCCCCCAGCCAGUUUGUUGAUAUGUGCCAUGGGGGUAACAGCAUUGUUGAAUUGAAAUGUUUGCAUUAUAUUGAAGAAAUACACCAGAGCGAACUCUUGGGGACACAGUCAGCUUGGAAAACUCACAUUUUGGACUGGAAAAAAAGGCGUUGCCCAUAAUAUGCUAGAGUCUGUGCAAACAUAAAAGAAGACAUGGUCCCUGCCCCACAGAUGUUACAGUCCAAAAUAAAUCUUGAUGUUGGCUUCAAAAAUGGUAGGUAAUAAAACAGGACUCACGUUGUCUAGUGAGAUGAUGGUAUUUCGGAAAAACGGCUGCACCACAACAGUAAAAUCCUCACGCUGUGCAUAGCGACCUGUGUUAGCCAUCAGCAUGCUUUUGAUCUGUAUGGGAUUGCAAGAUGCAAAACAAAAAGGUCAUUACAAGAUUUAUCUCCCUCAUCAAACAAGGGUUAUAAAAUAUGAGCCUUUCACCUCUCUAGAUCAUUAGUAUAAAUCCAGCCUACAUA